UACGGGAGGCAGCAGUGGGGAAUAUUGCACAAUGGGCGAAAGCCUGAUGCAGCUAUGCCGCGUGUAUGAAGAAGGCCUUAGGGUUGUAAAGUACUUUCAUCGGGGAGGAAAAAACAAAACUAAUAAUUUUAUUUCUUGACGUUACCCGAAAAAGAAGCACCGGCUAACUCCGUGCCGGCAGCCGCGGUAAUACGGAGGGUGCUAGCGUUAAUCAGAAUUACUGGGCGUAAAGAGCACGUAGGUGGUUUUUUUAAGUCAGAUGUGAAAUCCCUGGGCUUAACCUAGGAACUGCAUUUUGAAACUGAAAUACUAGAGUAUCGUAGAGGGAGGUAGAAUUCUAGGUGUAGCGGUGAAAUGCGUAGAUAUCUGGAGGAAUACCUGUGGCGAAAGCGGCCUCCUAAACGAAUACUGACACUGAGGUGCGAAAGCGUGGGGAGCAAACAGGGAUUAGAUACC
rnacentral:rRNA from 1 species